rnacentral:rRNA from 1 species
UCGCCCUUCCUACGGGGGGCAGCAGUAAGGAAUAUUGGGCAAUGGCCGUAAGGCUGACCCAGCCAUGCCGCGUGCAGGAAGACGGCCUUAUGGGUUGUAAACUGCUUUUUUGUGGGAAUAACCGUAGCUAUGCGUAGCUACCUGCAAGUACCAUAAGAAUAAGCAUCGGCUAACUCCGUGCCAGCAGCCGCGGUAAUA